GCAAGGCCAUCACCUGAGAGUGAGAGUGAAGUAUUGAAAGCUUUGGAAGGUCCCCUCCUCAACAAGGUCUUUUCUUUUCAACCUAUCAUGAACAUACCAAGCAUCUUGCUUACUAGUCAGGAGAAAGAGGAUUUCAACAUACCUGCAAGAUUUAAAGUUUGGAGAAAACAGUCUUAGACCGCUUGUGUACCAGAGAAUCGUAACUGCUGAGUUUGCUUCUUUUUUACAACUUGUAGCAAAAACUUCAGCAGCUGACAGUAUGACAAGUUACUGGAGUAGCGGCCAAAGGGAAAUGAG
rnacentral:lncRNA from 1 species